GGUCGACUGGCGUAGUGGUUAUCGCGUCUGUCUUACAAUUCACACUGUACAGUGUAUUGUGAGUACACAGAAGGUCGCAGGUUCGAUCCCUGCGUCGAUCA